UUAAGCGACUAAGCGUACACGGUGGAUGCCCUGGCAGUCAGAGGCGAUGAAGGACGUGCUAAUCUGCGAUAAGCGUCGGUGAGGUGAUAUGAACCGUUAUAACCGGCGAUUUCCGAAUGGGGAAACCCAGUGUGUUUCGACACACUAUCAUUAACUGAAUCCAUAGGUUAAUGAGGCGAACCGGGGGAACUGAAACAUCUAAGUACCCCGAGGAAAAGAAAUCAACCGAGAUUCCCCCAGUAGCGGCGAGCGAACGGGGAGGAGCCCAGAGCCUGAAUCAGUGUGUGUGUUAGUGGAAGCGUCUGGAAAGGCGCGCGAUACAGGGUGACAGCCCCGUACACAAAAAUGCACAUAUUGUGAGCUCGAUGAGUAGGGCGGGACACGUGGUAUCCUGUCUGAAUAUGGGGGGACCAUCCUCCAAGGCUAAAUACUCCUGACUGACCGAUAGUGAACCAGUACCGUGAGGGAAAGGCGAAAAGAACCCCGGCGAGGGGAGUGAAAAAGAACCUGAAACCGUGUACGUACAAGCAGUGGGAGCCUCUUAAUGGGGUGACUGCGUACCUUUUGUAUAAUGGGUCAGCGACUUAUAUUCUGUAGCAAGGUUAACCGAAUAGGGGAGCCGAAGGGAAACCGAGUCUUAACUGGGCGUUAAGUUGCAGGGUAUAGACCCGAAACCCGGUGAUCUAGCCAUGGGCAGGUUGAAGGUUGGGUAACACUAACUGGAGGACCGAACCGACUAAUGUUGAAAAAUUAGCGGAUGACUUGUGGCUGGGGGUGAAAGGCCAAUCAAACCGGGAGAUAGCUGGUUCUCCCCGAAAGCUAUUUAGGUAGCGCCUCGUGAAUUCAUCUCCGGGGGUAGAGCACUGUUUCGGCAAGGGGGUCAUCCCGACUUACCAACCCGAUGCAAACUGCGAAUACCGGAGAAUGUUAUCACGGGAGACACACGGCGGGUGCUAACGUCCGUCGUGAAGAGGGAAACAACCCAGACCGCCAGCUAAGGUCCCAAAGUCAUGGUUAAGUGGGAAACGAUGUGGGAAGGCCCAGACAGCCAGGAUGUUGGCUUAGAAGCAGCCAUCAUUUAAAGAAAGCGUAAUAGCUCACUGGUCGAGUCGGCCUGCGCGGAAGAUGUAACGGGGCUAAACCAUGCACCGAAGCUGCGGCAGCGACACUAUGUGUUGUUGGGUAGGGGAGCGUUCUGUAAGCCUGUGAAGGUGUACUGUGAGGGUUGCUGGAGGUAUCAGAAGUGCGAAUGCUGACAUAAGUAACGAUAAAGCGGGUGAAAAGCCCGCUCGCCGGAAGACCAAGGGUUCCUGUCCAACGUUAAUCGGGGCAGGGUGAGUCGACCCCUAAGGCGAGGCCGAAAGGCGUAGUCGAUGGGAAACAGGUUAAUAUUCCUGUACUUGGUGUUACUGCGAAGGGGGGACGGAGAAGGCUAUGUUGGCCGGGCGACGGUUGUCCCGGUUUAAGCGUGUAGGCUGGUUUUCCAGGCAAAUCCGGAAAAUCAAGGCUGAGGCGUGAUGACGAGGCACUACGGUGCUGAAGCGACAAAUGCCCUGCUUCCAGGAAAAGCCUCUAAGCAUCAGGUAACAUCAAAUCGUACCCCAAACCGACACAGGUGGUCAGGUAGAGAAUACCAAGGCGCUUGAGAGAACUCGGGUGAAGGAACUAGGCAAAAUGGUGCCGUAACUUCGGGAGAAGGCACGCUGAUAUGUAGGUGAAGCGACUUGCUCGUGGAGCUGAAAUCAGUCGAAGAUACCAGCUGGCUGCAACUGUUUAUUAAAAACACAGCACUGUGCAAACACGAAAGUGGACGUAUACGGUGUGACGCCUGCCCGGUGCCGGAAGGUUAAUUGAUGGGGUUAGCGGUAACGCGAAGCUCUUGAUCGAAGCCCCGGUAAACGGCGGCCGUAACUAUAACGGUCCUAAGGUAGCGAAAUUCCUUGUCGGGUAAGUUCCGACCUGCACGAAUGGCGUAAUGAUGGCCAGGCUGUCUCCACCCGAGACUCAGUGAAAUUGAACUCGCUGUGAAGAUGCAGUGUACCCGCGGCAAGACGGAAAGACCCCGUGAACCUUUACUAUAGCUUGACACUGAACAUUGAGCCUUGAUGUGUAGGAUAGGUGGGAGGCUUUGAAGUGUGGACGCCAGUCUGCAUGGAGCCGACCUUGAAAUACCACCCUUUAAUGUUUGAUGUUCUAACGUGGGCCCCUUACCGGGGUUGCGGACAGUGUCUGGUGGGUAGUUUGACUGGGGCGGUCUCCUCCUAAAGAGUAACGGAGGAGCACGAAGGUUGGCUAAUCCUGGUCGGACAUCAGGAGGUUAGUGCAAUGGCAUAAGCCAGCUUGACUGCGAGCGUGACGGCGCGAGCAGGUGCGAAAGCAGGUCAUAGUGAUCCGGUGGUUCUGAAUGGAAGGGCCAUCGCUCAACGGAUAAAAGGUACUCCGGGGAUAACAGGCUGAUACCGCCCAAGAGUUCAUAUCGACGGCGGUGUUUGGCACCUCGAUGUCGGCUCAUCACAUCCUGGGGCUGAAGUAGGUCCCAAGGGUAUGGCUGUUCGCCAUUUAAAGUGGUACGCGAGCUGGGUUUAGAACGUCGUGAGACAGUUCGGUCCCUAUCUGCCGUGGGCGCUGGAGAACUGAGGGGGGCUGCUCCUAGUACGAGAGGACCGGAGUGGACGCAUCACUGGUGUUCGGGUUGUCAUGCCAAUGGCACUGCCCGGUAGCUAAAUGCGGAAGAGAUAAGUGCUGAAAGCAUCUAAGCACGAAACUUGCCCCGAGAUGAGUUCUCCCUGACUCCUUGAGAGUCCUGAAGGAACGUUGAAGACGACGACGUUGAUAGGCCGGGUGUGUAAGCGCAGCGAUGCGUUGAGCUAACCGGUACUAAUGAACCGUGAGGCUUAACCU
rnacentral:rRNA from 1 species